rnacentral:rRNA from 1 species
AGUGAACGCUGGCGGCAUGCCUAAUACAUGCAAGUCGAAGGAAGUGGCGCACGGGUGAGUAAUAUAUAGCUAAUCUGCCCAUUGAUGGAGGACAACAGUUAGAAAUGACUGCUAAAACUCAAUAGCAAGGGAUGAGCCUAUAUCGUAUCAGCUAGUAGGUGGGGUAACGGCCGACCGAGGCUAUGACGCGUAACUGGUCUGAGAGGAUGAGCAGUCACAGUGGAACUGAGACACGGUCCAAACUCCUACGGGAGGCAGCAGUAGGGAAUAUUGCGCAAUGGGGGAAACCCUGACGCAGCAACGCCGCGUGGAGGAUGACACUUUGCGUAGCGUAAACUCCUUUUGUUAGGGAAGCGUUACCCACCGAAUAAGCACCGGCUAACUCCGUGCCAGCAGCCGCGGUAAUUC